rnacentral:pre_miRNA from 14 species
CGUGACCUACCCUGUAGUUCCGGGCUUUUGUUUUAAUAGCAUUUCAUUUUUUUCGAUGAAUGCAUUCUUACGCUUAUCAGAAGCUCGUCUCUACAGGUAUCUCACAG